rnacentral:rRNA from 1 species
UGGGGAAUAUUGCACAAUGGGCGCAAGCCUGAUGCAGCCAUGCCGCGUGUAUGAAGAAGGCCUUCGGGUUGUAUAGUACUUUUAGUCGGUAGGAAGGUGGUAAGGUUAAUAACCUUAUCAAUUGACGUUACCUGCAGAAGAAGCACCGUCUAACUCCGUGACAGCAGCCGCGGUAAUACGGAGGGUGCAAGCGUUAAUCGGAAUUACUGGGCGUAAAGCGCAAGCAGGCGGUCUGUCGAGUCGGAUGUGACAUCCCCGGGCUCAACCUGGGGACUGAAUUCAAAACUGGCAGGCUAGAGUCUUGUAGAGGGAGAUAGAAUUCCAGGUGUAGCGAUGAAGUGCGUACAGAUCUGGAGGAAUACCGGUGACGAAUGCGGCCCCCUUGACAAAGACUGACGCUCAGGUGCGAAAGCGUGGGAAGCAAACGGG